CUUGGAAUAGAUAUUUAGUAUCUAUUUGAAGACAGAAGAACCCAAGGAGGUUAUACCAUACAAAGUACCCAGAGUCAUAUUCUGGAGGCUGAUAAGCAGAUAGUGUUCUGACAGGCAAAGUGGAGGAGAAGGAGAAUUCCAGAUUAUACUCAUUGGAUGACCCAUCAAGAUGACUGGUCCUGGGGGACAAAAAUCAGAAGAUGAGUAGAUU
rnacentral:lncRNA from 1 species